rnacentral:rRNA from 1 species
UGAGUAACGCGUGAGGAACCUGCCUCAAAGAGGGGGACAACAGUUGGAAACGACUGCUAAUACCGCAUAAGCCCACGGUGCCGCAUGGCACAGAGGGAAAAGGAGCAAUCCGCUUUGAGAUGGCCUCGCGUCCGAUUAGCUAGUUGAUGAGGUAACGGCCCACCAAGGCAACGAUCGGUAGCCGGACUGAGAGGUUGAACGGCCACAUUGGGACUGAGACACGGCCCAGACUCCUACGGGAGGCAGCAUG